UGGCUGAGAUGAUAAAGAAUCUGCCUGCAAUGCAGAAGACCCAGGUUCCAUCCCUGG
rnacentral:tRNA from 1 species